UGAGGACAUUUGAAUUAAACAAGAGGAUGUCAACCAUGUUUUAUUGGUGAUUUAAAGAUGAAGUUAAAGUUAGAUGCACUGGAGAAAAAGUAAAAAGGAGAGCGUGAGUAUAUAUAAAGCCAUACAGGUGACCAGUGAGAAGUGUCACAUGAAAUAAUAUGGAUUGACAUCUUCCUCUUCACACAUCAGAUAUCCUGAAUCUUCUGGAAACCACUGCUCAGAGACGGUACCCUGCAGUCUCUCCAGCAAGGAAUGAAAGCACUGAGGUCUUGACAGAAGAUAAGCAAGUGAAUAAAGUUCACAUAUGCUUAAAUUCAUCUUUCUUCACUGAAACAUACAAUUACAUCCCCUUAAUUAAAAUUGCCUUGUUGUAUUGCUGAGACAGAAGUGUGAAUUAAGAGUGUGACAGAGGCUUAGUUUCAGAUGAUUAUGAUGAUGACUGAUUCCUGAUGGCCUUGGAAGUCUGACCACU